AUCCACAUGACGAGUCCCAAAUAGGACGAAAUACGCAUUAUCCUGGAU
rfam:Trichobilharzia regenti genome assembly, scaffold: TRE_scaffold0001777